CGUGGGCAAUCUGUCCUAAAGUGGGGGAUAGCUCGGCGAAAGCCGAAUUAAUACCGCAUGUGAUUACCGGAGACAUCUUCGGAACAUCAAAGGUGGCGCAAGCUACCGCUUUUUGAGGAGCCCGCGGCCUAUCAGCUAGUUGGUGGGGUAAAGGCUCACCAAGGCAGAGAUCGGUAGCCGGCCUGAGAGGGCACACGGCCACACUGGCACUGAAACACGGGCCAG
rnacentral:rRNA from 1 species